AAGCAGGCUCCCUGAUGCAGGGCUUAAUCCCAAGACCUUGAGAUCAUGACCUGAGCUGAAGGCAGAGGCUUAACCCCAACAGAGGCUUCUGCUUGUGGGUUUCUGCUCUGCUCCUCUCCUUCUUGUGUUGGCCACACUCAGCCACCUUCAUUUCCUGGAGAGAAAGCUCAUGGCUCC
rnacentral:lncRNA from 1 species